UACGUAGGGUGCGAGCGUUGUCCGGAUUUACUGGGCGUAAAGCGCGCGUAGGCGGCCCGAUAAGUCCGCUGUAAAAGUCAACGGCUCAACUGUUGAAAGCCGGUGGAUACUGUCGGGCUAGAGUACGGAAGAGGCAAGUGGAAUUCCUGGUGUAGCGGUGAAAUGCGCAGAUAUCAGGAGGAACACCGGUGGCGAAGGCGGUUCUCUGGGCAUGUCCUGACGCUGAGGAGCGAAAGUGUGGGGAGCGAACAGG
rnacentral:rRNA from 1 species